rnacentral:misc_RNA from 1 species
CGAAUCAAGGGAAGCGUGCCGGUGCAGGCAAGAGACCACCGUAAGCGUCGUUGCAACCAAUUAAGCGCCGAUUCCAAUCAGCGCGACUUCGCACUCGCUGCCUAAGCGACUGUGAGUCUGUCAGCCCGGGAGUGCCCUCGGCCCGGACCCUGGCAUCAGCUAGAGGGACCCACCCACGGGUUCGGUCGCGGAAUCCGUGGGGACAUCAAACAGCGACUGGGAUCGUCAUCCUGACUUGUUCGCGUGAUCGGGAGAUCCGAGUAGAGGCAUAGCGAACUGCGCACGGAGAAGCCUCGAGGGAAUGCC